rnacentral:ncRNA from 1 species
UCUACGGGCUGUAAUAAAUUCAGUUUUUUUGCAUCUUCAGCUUUUAAUAACAAGCCAUGUAAAGAAAGGUCUUGAAUGGUAGCUGGUAUUACCAAAUCUCUCUGUUCAAUUAAGGCUGGUACUUGGUAGAUGAUGCGUGAAAAGCGUCGUCUUUCCGUCAUAGAGCUUUCUCGUAAAGUGUCAAACAAUGGCAAGACUAUACCAAAUAGAACAAAAAAUGUUCGAUUUUUGUGUUUGAAAUGUCGAAAAUGCUACAGAGUUAUGCUGGCUAAAGGUUAGGCUCUUUACAUGCUACAAGGGCAUUUG